rnacentral:lncRNA from 1 species
UAAAAGGAUGGCUUGGUUCAGAAGAGGGAAGACACGCGGAUGGGAGGAAAUCUGAGAAGAAUUCGGGUGAAGAUGAGAGGGAUCUCAGGCGGAUGGUGAGCGUUGAUAUGAUCUCUGCUAUGUACUGAAGCAAAAACGUGUGAACGAGGGAAUGACGUGGGAUUGAGUUGGGAUCAUUUGAGCAGGGGAGGUGAACGCGGACGUUGGGAGAUUCGGGAUUUGGCUUUAUCUUGGCUGAUGGGAGGAUAGAGAGUACUCGGUCUGGGAAGGAAACGGAUGUUGAAGACGCUGGAUUCGGGAGCUGGGAGUUUAGUUGAGAUGAAGACGCGAUGAGGAUGAUAGAUUCGGCUGGGAGCAGGACUUUUGGACACGAGGGAGGAUGGAAUGCAAGCUUGUAUGAUGACUUGGACGGUUGGGAAUGAGCUCUAUUUUCAGUAUGGGUGGAUUACGUCACGUGGAAGAUACUUUGGAAUGAAGGGACUUGCAUGAUGACUUGGGAUGAACUUAGCAAGGAGUGAACAAGGGAGUUUGAGCUCAAUAGAUUUGGGUUCAGGGCUCAUCCCAAAUAAGUUCGAC